rnacentral:rRNA from 1 species
GUAGGGAAUAUUGGGCAAUGGAUGAAAGUCUGACCCAGCCAUGCCGCGUGCCGGAUGAAGGCGCUCAGCGUUGUAAACGGCUUUUAUUCGGGAAGAAGAGCAGGGAUGCGUCCCUGUGUGACGGUACCGAAUGAAUAAGCACCGGCUAACUCCGUGCCAGCAGCCGCGGUAAUACGGAGGGUGCGAGCGUUGUCCGGAUUUAUUGGGUUUAAAGGGUGCGUAGGUGGCCAAAUAAGUCAGUGGUGAAAUACGGUUGCUCAACAAUCGAGGUGCCAUUGAUACUGCUUGGCUUGAAAUAAUUGGAGGCUGCCGGAAUGGAUGGUGUAGCGGUGAAAUGCAUAGAUAUCAUCCAGAACACCGAUUGCGAAGGCAGGUGGCUACGAUUUAUUUGACACUGAGGCACGAAAGCAUGGGGAGCAAACAGGAUUAGAAACCCUAGUAGUCC